rnacentral:rRNA from 1 species
GGCGGUGGCUAAGCCCAAGAGGUUAAGAUAGUUAAGCAUGUUAGGACGGGAGUAGUUCUAGGAUGGGUGACCCCCUGGGAAGUUGGAGCGUCACAGUUG